UUUUGAAUCUUAAUCAUGUCAUUGAAUUUAUUUUUAUGAAACACCUGUAACGUCUCCUCAGAUUCUCGGCAGCGGUAACAACAUCCGCGCCGAGCAAACCCCCCGUGUCAACGUGCCCCAAUCAGUGGACGGCGAACGGCGGGAGACUGUCGGCGCGCGCCUCAACCUCGGCGCCGUGGUCGCGCUCGGCGCGUUCGGCGCGAUCGUCUUCCUCGUAGCGAUCAUCACUACCAUCGUCAUAUUGGUGCGGAGAAAGCACCACGACGGCAAACGCUACCGCCACCACGUGUCCCCCGACUGCAACACGGUCGCCUCCCUCGACUCCUCGUCCUCGGAGUCCCGUUCGGGCCUGAACAGGUACUACAGGCAAGCUUGGGAGGAGCUCCACGAAGCAACCGGCGCUAAAGGUAGAAGACACGACAGGGAAGCGCCGAAAGACGGGUCGGAACUUGUCGUGUCAGACGUCUACCCAGCCCCGAGGGACAAGAGGAGACAUCAUCAUCACCACCAUCAUCGCCAGCCGAGGCAUCCGGAUUGGCAUUCGCCGCAUCGUCCACAGCACAAUCAUAAGCCUAGGUAUUAACUAGCUGUUGUAAAAAUCAUUUCAGUCUGACGUUUUUUUCGCUAGUGUGUUGUGCAUAAAACAGUCACAUUUUGCAGUGUAUGUAUAUGUUAUUUUCAUUAAUAUGCAGUACUCAUAGAACUUUUUUAGAUUGACUGAUGAUAGAAUGAUCAGUUUCUGAUUUACGCUCGACAGAAAAAAAUCACGAACAUAAGCACUUUAAAAAUGUAUAACAAAUUUUCCACAAUAGCUAAAAAUAUGGAAAUUGCUUGAAAAAAAUCGUCAAUAUCAUGUUUGAUCACUUAAUGAUUACUUUUUUUAAUAUCAUUAAAACAUACAAAAAAAUUAAAAUUCAUAAACAUGGUAUCCGCGGUCCCGAGCGCGCACAACCAUCUCGCUCAGAGAGAGGGAGAGAAGAACACUGGACCUCAAGAAAAUACGAAGGGCGCAAUUUGCAGGUAAAAUAAAUACAGUUGUUUUUAACUAUGAUUUAAUUUAACGCAACUUUGCCCGGUCACUUGAGUAUCUACAUUCCACCAAGUGCAAAGUUAGACGUUGUUAUAACACUCAGUGAAAUGCGAGGUUGAAAUUAUUCACCUAAACUAUGACUGAAAUGGUUGUUAGACACCGUAAUUUAAAUAUUGCUUCCAUUGGGUCGAAAUGGCGUUAGAUUGUAGAUGAUGAACGUAGGUAUGAAAUGUCAGAAGUCCUUUGUUGGCUGGAUAAAAUAAAAUAUCAGGUUAACAAAGCGCAGUGUGACGAACAGUAGGAUGACACGACUUUGUACAAAGCUCGUCUGUUAAUAAUUACAUAGUACAGCUUCGUGUAGGUAGCGAAAACGUAGUCGUCUCGUCGUCGUACCUAUAAAUGUAUACAUAUCUAUUUAAGUAACGGUUUUUCCUGUAGACAUUUACGUAACUUUAUAUUUGUUUUCUUUUUAUUACUCAUCAGAACGGCACAUCUA